CAUUGCGGGUGAGUAAUGUAUAGGAAUCUACCUAGUAGUACGGAAUAAUUGUUGGAAACGACAACUAAUACCGUAUACGCCCUACGGGGGAAAAAUUUAUUGCUAUUAGAUGAGCCUAUAUUAGAUUAGCUAGUUGGUGGGGUAAUAGCCUACCAAGGUAAUGAUCUAUAGCUGAUCUGAGAGGAUGAUCAGCCACACUGGAACUGAGAUACGGUCCAGACUCCUACGGGAGGCAGCAGUGGGGAAUAUUGGACAAUGGGCGAAAGCCUGAUCCAGCCAUGCCGCAUGAGUGAAGAAGGCCUUUGGGUUGUAAAGCUCUUUUAGUGAGGAAGAUAAUGACGGUACUCACAGAAGAAGUCCUGGCUAACUCCGUGCCAGCAGCCGCGGUAAUACGGAGAGGGCUAGCGUUAUUCGGAAUUAUUGGGCGUAAAGGGCGCGUAGGCUGGUUAAUAAGUUAAAAGUGAAAUCCCGAGGCUUAACCUUGGAAUUGCUUUUAAAACUAUUAAUCUAGAGAUUGAAAGAGGAUAGGGGAAUUCCUGAUGUAGAGGUAAAAUUCGUAAAUAUUAGGAGGAACACCAGUGGCGAAGGCGUCUAUCUGGUUCAAAUCUGACGCUGAAGCGCGAAGGCGUGGGGAGCAAACAGGAUUAGAUACCCUGGUAGUCCACGCUGUAAACGAUGAAUGUUAAAUAUGGGGAGUUUACUUUCUGUAUUACAGCUAACGCGUUAAACAUUCCGCCUGGGGACUACGGUCGCAAGAUUAAAACUCAAAGGAAUUGACGGGGACCCGCACAAGCGGUGGAGCAUGUGGUUUAAUUCGAUGCAACGCGAAAACCGAGUUCC
rnacentral:rRNA from 1 species